UGCAGCAAUACCCCAUCUGAUUAUUGGGUCUCAUGGCGAUUGCAUUUUCAGCACUGAAGAGUCUCCAUUGACUGCCCAGGGGCGGAGACAUUUGGGCCAUCAGUCCACCCUCUUUGAGUGACGGAGGCAUCCCUGUGAGUGCAGUAGACGGGGCCCGUGACAGGAGGAGCCACGCCGUGACACAACCCCUCACAGGAGGAGAAACUCUCCGUUGAGCUCCAGGACUGGCAGACCCAUGGGAGCCAGCACUCGGCUAACACCAGCAAAUAGGAUGACAUUAUUGUGUAAUGACGUGUGGGCUUUGGUGCAGUCUGCGUAUUACACCACAGGACCAAAGGCCAGAUUGAGAGAAACAGAAAGUCUGCAGAGAACCCUGCUCUGUGCU